rnacentral:rRNA from 1 species
GACGAACGCUGGCGGCGUGCUUAACACAUGCAAGUCGAACGGUAAGGCCCUUCGGGGUACACGAGUGGCGAACGGGUGAGUAACACGUGGGUGAUCUGCCCUGCACUUCGGGAUACGCCUGGGUAACUGGGUCUAAUACCGGAUAGGACCACUGCCUGCAUGGGUGGUGGUGGAAAGCUUUUGCGGUGUGGGAUGGGCCCGCGGCCUAUCAGCUUGUUGGUGGGGUGAUGGCCUACCAAGGCGACGACGGGUAGCCGGCCUGAGAGGGUGACCGGCCACACUGGGACUGAGAUACGGCCCAGACUCCUACGGGAGGCAGCAGUGGGGAAUAUUGCACAAUGGGCGCAAGCCUGAUGCAGCGACGCCGCGUGAGGGAUGACGGCCUUCGGGUUGUAAACCUCUUUCAGCACCGACGAAGCGCAAGUGACGGUAGGUGCAGAAGAAGGACCGGCCAACUACGUGCCAGCAGCCGCAGUAA